rfam:Stegodyphus mimosarum contig103311, whole genome shotgun sequence.
GCCUUCGUGGUGUAAUGGUCAGCACAUUCGGCUCGUAUUCGAGAGGUCCGAGUCUCGGCGAUGGCA